UUUAUAUUUAUUUGAAUCUGAAAAGCCGAUAUAAACGUUUUCAUGGAUGAUGAUUUAUAUUUCUAGCCAAAAUUUUAGUUAUUUUAAGGUUGCAGACAAAAUUCCAUAACAAUCGAACCGUUAGAAAAACAGAUUUUGAUCCCAAAACUUGAUUAUUUUGUAUGGAAAACGGCUCUGUCUUUAUACUUAUUUCUCGCACUUUAUAACACGACGGUUUGGAACAUUCGUGCCACGAACUGUCCCAAAAAUCGCCCGUUUUUGUCUUCACACCUGACUUCACAGUCAAAUGUGUCACAAACAAGUGAUAGAUUGGCAAGUGCUUUUCACGCUCUCAUUUCAUUUUCGCUCUCUUCCUUUUUUGCAACAAUGACAGCAAGACGUCGCAUCAAAAACGAGUAGUUUGUGUGAUAGCAAGGAGACUUAAUUUGACGGAGAUCGUCAAAACUUGCGUUCAAAAUUGGGAGUCGAAAGUGGUAAAAAAUCACAGAAUCCCACUCAUGAAAUAGAUUAGAAUGACCACACACUCAGACUCUAUUUCGCUGUUCGGUAAAAAUUUCGCCGGAAAAAAUCGGUGAAGUAUAAAAACUACCGCUUUUCGGUAAUUAUUGUGUAUUUCACAAGAUUUCGGUAGUUUAAUUACCGAUCCGUAUGUAAUUUAAUACAUAAACAGCAUUUGCUGUCAAAUAUAUUACAGUUUGCACUGUAAAAUCGGGAAAACACCGUAUCCGGUAAUUAAAACUACCGAAAAGUUUGUAAAUCUUCACCAAAUUACCGAAAUCCUGUGAAGUGUUGAACAGACAUACAAACGUCAAACUGGCGUGGCGACAGUAAAUAAAAUUCUCAUGUCAGUGGUAUUAGCUCAAGAGUUUUCUGUAUUGGAAGUCCGGAAUGACUGAAAACCUCGUGUUAUCAGACAGCACAGUGCAUUCGUAGCAGCUGGCCUUUCUCACUGCUUGCCAGCAUCAAAAUGAAGGUUCCUCCUGAUCACCUCUGCCUACCACACAAGCAUCGAAGAAGGUUCAUUAAAGCAGUGAUAAAGAUGUUACACUACCCGUCAUAAGUA